UACGUAGGUGACAAGCGUUGUCCGGAUUUACUGGGCGUAAAGAGCGCGCAGGCGGUCGUUCAAGUCGAGUGUGAAAGCCCCCGGCUCAACUGGGGAGGGUCAUUCGAUACUGAUCGACUCGAAGGCAGGAGAGGGAAGUGGAAUUCCCGGUGUAGUGGUGAAAUGCGUAGAUAUCGGGAGGAACACCAGUGGCGAAGGCGGCAUCCUGGACCGACAUUGACGCUGAGGAGCGAAAGCUAGGGGAGCAAACGGG
rnacentral:rRNA from 1 species